rnacentral:tRNA from 1 species
GGUGGGAUUCCCGAGUGGCCAAAGGGGUCUGGCUGUAAACCAGAUGGCUCAGCCUUCGAAGGUUCGAAUCCUUCUCCCACCA